rnacentral:lncRNA from 1 species
GUUCCCUUACUUAACGGAACCAUGUUCUUUUACCAGACACAAUACUUGAAAAUCGACUCGUCAGUAUUAGGUAUCUCCAAGGUUUUUGGUCAGGCAACAAUGCUUCUAUGGGGCGUUAUAUAUAAUCGAUACCUGAAAUCUAUAUCACCUAGGAAACUGAUAUCAGCGAUUCAAGUAACAAUUGCAUUCUUAAUGAUUUCAGAUGUCUUAUUUGUGCGCGGUUUCUAUAGACAAAUGGGCGUGCCGGAUACACUCUAUGUUGUGAUUUUCUCAGGAUUCUUGGAGGUUCUAUUUUUCUUUAAGUUUCUUCCUUUCACUGUGUUAUUAGCACAGCUAUGUCCACAAGGUUGUGAAGGGUCAAUAAUGGCAUUUCUUAUGUCUGCUGUUGCAUUGGCAUUCAUUGUGAGUGGAUACCUUGGUGUUGCACUUGCAUCUUAUAUUAAGAUAACAGGAAGUGAUUUUUCAGGAUUAUCACUUGGACUUGUGAUACAAGCUUCAUGUACUUUGUUGCCAAUAUUUUGGUCAUCAUGCAUACCUGAAUAUGUAAAAACAAAAGACAAGCGUAAAGACUAAUUAAUGUAAUAGCUUUUAGAAAUGUGAUAAACAUAGUGAUUUAAGGUGUUGAGCAAAUUUUGUGUUCCAUUUUUCAGUAGCGUGGUUUAUGUUCGUGCAAGAUUUUAUCCGGUAGGAUUGUAAUUUUCCAAUUUCAUGUUCCGUAAAGGAAAAAAUGUUUAGUGAAUGUUUUACAGAAAAGCAAAGCCAAACAAGUGGUUGGAGAAGGCACACAUACCUUUUUUCCCAGUGGAAUUUCUGAAAUAUGUAAUGCUGCUUCAAGGCAGAAGGUAUGAAAUCAUAUUGAAAAAGUGAACAAUCUCACACAGUUAAAAAAUGAGCCAACUUUUAUAUACUACUAUUCUUUAUGGUCUCUGCCACGUUUUUCCUCAACUUUGUUGCAGUUCAAUUAUGAUAUUUCUAAAUAUCAUUUUAAGAAUGCUUAUGUAACUUAUAAUGUGAGGUUGAUUAUAAAGAUUUUCUACGUUGGAAAAUUGAUCUUAUACAAGUAAUUGUCUGAAAAUAAUAUCAAUUAUUGGAUCAUAAGAUGGUGGACAUAUAUCAAUUCUUUGAAAUACUAGAGACCACAAUACAAUUCGAUCAAUGAACAUUGCAAUUUGGAAGUAAAUAGUACUGAUAUGUUACUACAUGUGCAAAUGAGGUGUGAAAGUUGAGAGCUCUUAGUCCCACAUUGCUUGCAAAGAAACAAAACACAUGUGAAGUUGUUAUAUAUAAGAUGGCAAGUGUAUUACAAACAAUUGCAGUUUCAUAGAGGUGCCUAUUGGCUAUUGUGGUAACAUUGGCACGGAUCAGUGGUGUUGGUUUAAAAAGUAAAAAAUUUCUUUAAACCUUGAUCAUUUUCUUUUUGUUUUCAAAUUAGCUUGUUAGCACUCUCUCUCAAUAUAAUUAUUAUGUAAUAGAUUAUGUAUAAUAAUGUAAUAUAACUUGCCAAAAAAUCAAUUAUUCGUGUAGUCCAUCAUUACUACUUAUGUCUUCAUCUUGUUCUUGGUUGGUUAUUCUGGAUUCACCAGCUUCAUUAGAUUUUCUUCUUAGAGACGGAAUCUAUGAUCAAGACAUGGUUGGUGAUGCUUAUUCUUUUCAUGUCCGCAAACUAUUUACAACACAGUGUCUAUGAGAAAUAUCAAGUACCUAGUCUGUUUAUCUUUGGGGACUCUUUAUAUGAUAGUGAAAACAACAAUAACCUUCCUACCUUUGCUUAAUUUGAUUACAAACCUUAUGGAAUCGAUUCCUUCCUCGCUCGGCGCAACCAGAAGAUUUACCAACGGUCGAACUGCAAUUAACAUAAUAAGUAACGUUCUUUCGGUUUAUCUAUAUUAUUGUGAACUAUUGUUGUUAUCUCUUUGUGUUUCAACUCAAACUAAAGUCAUUUCUUUGACUAUAGCUUGCCUUCUUGGAUUUUAGAUAUUCAUUCCAUCAUUUGCAAACACUAAUGGUUUAGAUAUUCUCAAAGGUGUGAAUUAUGCAUAUGAGGGAGCAGGAAUUCGUAUCGAGACAAGCAUGACUAAAGUUUAAAUAAAUUGUAGUUUUUUAUGGUUGGUACUUAUCUUCAAUGGGUUUGUCAUAGUCACCAAACAUUAGUACACUAUCACAUCGACACUGAUAAUAAUUUGAAAAUUGACAUAAUUAAACCAAUGUAACCACACAAUUCUUAAAAUAAAAAAUGUAACCAUAGUGCCACACAAGUCACGGUCAUGUCUGUAUCAAAUACUAACACGUGUCGAAUACCAUACACAUGGAUCAUAAAUACCGGUGCUACAAAAUGUAUGUUACAUUGCUCAUACAUGUCACCAAAUUAGCAUAUGUCCAUACAAACUUGGUAUUACAGUUGACAAAUCACCGACUUAUAGUUUCUGAAAUUGCUACUAGACUUGGAAGUCUUGAAAAAACUCAGCAAUACCUUAACAAAUGUUUGUGUUAUGUAAUAGGAUGUAAUGUUACAUAAACAAUUAAUGAAAUAUUAUUCUGUUGGGAAUAUAUAUCCUCUAAUGUUAAAAACAGAAAUGUAUUCGUUAAAUGUGGAUAACUUUAUCUUUUUCUUUAUAUUAUAUUAUCAUUUAAUUUUACAAGGGCAUCCAUAAUGGUAACUGUUUCAUCUGAGUGCUGCUAUAUUGCAUGAGGGCCACAACAAAUCAAAUCGUACGACUUGUUAAACUAUGGGAAAAGAAACAACUUUCAGAACUAUUGGUCGCACUAAGAAAACAUAAAUUCGCUGGUCAAUCUCAUGGUUUGCAUUAUCUUAUGCUGUUAUUCCCUUACUUAACAGAACCAUGUUCUUUUACCAGACAUAAUACUUGAAAAUUGACUCCUCGGGUAUUAGGCAUCUCCAAGGUUUUUUGUCGGGCAACAAUGCUUCUAUGGGGUGUUAUAUUUAACUGAUGCUGAAAAUUUGUCUCACUGAGCAAACUGAUAUCAGCUACUCAAGCGUAAAGACUAAUCAAUGCCAAUAUUUUGGUCAUCAUGCAUACCUGAAUUUGUAAAAACAAAAGACAAGUGUAAAGACAAAUUAUUAAUGUAAUAGCUUUUAGAAAUGUGAUGGUGGUUUAAGGGGUUGAACAAAUUUUGUGUUCCAUACUUCCAUUUUUCAGUGGCAUGGUUUAUGUUGGUGCGAGAUUUUUCAUAUAUAGGAUUGUAAUUUUCUAAUGUCAUGUUUAGCCAAUGUUUUUGUGAAAAAAAGAUGUUUAGUGAAUGUUUUACAGAAAAUCAAAACUGCUUUUAUGAUCAAGUGGUUAGAGAAGGCACACAUACCUUAUUUUUCAGUAGAAUCUCUGAAAUAUGUAAUGCUGCUUGAAGGCAGAAGGUAUGAAAUCAUAUUGAAAAAGUAAACAAUCUCACACAGUUAAAAAUUGAGUCAACUUUUAUAUGGUACUAUUCUUUAUAUCUCCGCCACUUUUUUCCUCAACCUUGUUUCAGUUUAAUUAUGAGAUUUCUAAAUAUCAAUUUAAGAAUGCUUAUGUAACAUAUAAUGUGAGGUUGAUUAUAAAGAAUUUGCUAAGUUGAAAAAGUGAUCUUAUGCAAGUAGUUGUCUGAAAAUAAUCUCAAUUAUACGUCAAUUCUUUGAAAUACCAGAGGCUUAAGAACAUUGCAAUUUGGAAGUAAGUAGGACUGAUAUCUUACUAGAAGUGCCAAGUGAGGUGUGAAAGUAGAGAGUAUAAAUAUGGCUUUUAGUCCCAUAUUGCUUGCAAAGAAACAUAAUACGUGAAGUUUUUCUAUAUAAAGAUGACAAGUGAAUGACUAACAAAUGCAAUUUGGCUGAGAUGUCUAUUGGUUAUUCCUGUCCCAAUGACACUGUUCUAGUGCCACACCCCCGAAACUGCCAACUUUUCCAACUUGUCGUUUGAUCGGUAGUGUAGUUCUGGGGGUGCUAUCUGGAAUAGUAGCAUUGACAGGUUAAAAAGUUCAAUUUUUUUUUUAGAAAUCACAACUUUGAUCCCUUUUUUUCUCUUCAUUUUCUUCGUUGAUUCAGCUCAAACUAAUGUCGUUUCAUUGAGCUGCUACUCUACUUCUUGGAUUUGAGAAUUUAAUUUCAUCAUUUGCAAACCCUAAUGGUUUAGACAUACUUAAAGGUCCGAACUAUGCCAACUAUAAUCGUAGUUUUUGAUUGUUCAUCUUUAACUUCAAUUGGUUUUUGAUAGGUGUCUAGAGGAUUAUGUAGUACUCACGCAAUUAUCAAACACGACACUGACACGUCAACAGCAGUAAUAAUUUGAAGAAAAAAAAAACUUACAUUUAAAUGUAAUCACACGACUCUAUAUUGUGUCGGCAUCAAUAUUGACAUGUGUCAGAUACCUGAGACAUAGAUCUAAAGUGUCGAUGCUACAAAAUGUAUGCUACAUUGCUCAUACAUGUCACCAAAUUAACAUUAUUUAUGUCCAUACAUGAUUUUGUAUAGAAAGUUGAAUCGAAAGUUUUCGAUAAGUAAUCAGCUUCUUCGUGUGGUCACAAAUCAAGCUAAGUUCACCGUUUUUCUUCCAAAACUACUCACAGUUUCACCCUAUGUGACACAUCAUUGAGGUUUCUUGGAAACCUCCACCAUUCAACUACUAUAAAUGUUGAUGGUCUCAUGAAAGACACCAGAGAUUCUAUUUGUGGAUGAAUAACUAGAGAUCCUCGUGGUAGAUUCAUUCACGAUUUCUAAAAUAGACUCAAAACUUGAUCUGCUGUGUCGGCAGAACUCUGUGCUCUUCGCAUUGGAGUUGAUGAUAUAGCAAACCAGUUAAUUAUAUCAAUAAUGUCACAAUUGCAGCCACUAAAAGCAUGCAUGAAAUCAUAGACUAAUACAGUUAAUUGACAGCGGAAUCCACGGUGGUGGAAGUAGAAAAAAUAUCUCGGGUGGGCCAGCAAAAUAUACUCGGAUAUAUAAACAUAAAUUUGUCUGUUGUAAUAAACGCCAAACACAAAGUUUCAUCAAAAUAGUAAACUACAUACCUUAGAAAAUUAAAAUAAUUCGUUAUGCGAUCCAACUAACUUGAAAUCAUCAAUGACCAACUCAUAACUAAUACUUGCACUAAUUUCCCUUUCAAUAUAAACCGUCAUGCUAUCAUUUAGAAACCCACUUCCCAUUUUGUUUCUCAACCUAGUCUUGAUAAUCUUCAUUGCUGAAAAAGAUCUCUCAGUUGUGGCCGUAGAAGCUGGAAGAGUCAUGAUAAGGCGGAGUAUAAAUUAAAUAUGUGAUAUCUUACGAUUCAUUAUAAGAUUCGAUCCAUGAUUUGGAAAAUAGUUCUUCCGGUUCACGUUAUGAAUCUCGAAUCGAUAAGGAUGUUUAUUUCCCUUGUAGUGUAAUGCAAUAUGUCCUGAUACCAGGUUUCUGUGGGUGAGUAGUAGUAACACAUUACCCCUUUUUCCCUGCAUCAGUCCAAAGGCAGAACAGAAAAAAUGGGAUCUUAUGGAUUCUGGCCAGUAAUGUGAUCAAUCCAAAAGAAAGAAUAAACAAAAGAAAGAAAAACCGAAACCCUGAUUCAAAAGGAAACUUAGAUACUUGAAUAUGAAUAUAGUUAGGAACUAUUUAAAUGAAUGAAUGUCGUUGUUGCUUGAAUCUAAAAACAGAAUAAGUAUAUACUCGUUAGCUUCCUUAUGAAGGAAGUGUAAUAAAUCACAAUUAUUUCUAGGAACUGGAAAAUAGGUCAAUGGUUAUUGAAUUGGUUUCUUUUAUAUAUAAUAGAAGAAGGGAUAGAAAGAAUCAUCCUGAGGCAAACUGGUCAAUAAUGAAUACAAGAGACUAUUUAUACAUACAAGUUCAUAUGAAAACGAAGAAGAUAACAACGAUAACUAGCCUAAGUACAUUUCUCUAAUAAGAACAUUUUGAAUCAGCCAUUUCCCUCAAAGCAGUAGUUCUACUCAUGAAAAUGCAAAACUGAUUGCAACUUUUACUUGAGGCAAUGAUCAGAACCGUUUCUAAGAACACAAGCAAAUGCUACUUGAAAUUGAGAAAGUGCUGCAUUUUUUAGUUAUCUUCAUUUUGAAUUUUAUUUUCAGCAAUUGCUUAUCAGAUCAUCCCUGUCAGUUCGAUUCUGAUCCACCUUUAAUUUUCUGACAUACAAUGGUUAUUAAAACUGGAGACUUGGUUUUUACUUCAUUCAAUGCUAGACUAAAUCUGGAUAUGUUGUUGUGACUAUAUAACCUUAUGCCGCACUGCAAUCUUUACCCCUGCAUUGUUCAUUCCAUUUGGUAUAAAAGGUUGAUAUAAUUAAACCUUGUCAUGUAUUUAUUGGUCUAUGGGGUCAUAUUUUUCUUAGGUGUGAGUGUGACAUGGUGGAACUUCAUGUAAACUGUUUCUUCUGUUCUGUCCCCUUUGGGCUAUGAAUCCCAGUUUUCACUUAUUAGCAAGAAUACCUUAAAAAUUUAUCCUCAUCAAAAUGUUAGCUCGGAGGGAACUGGUUUGGUGACUGGUAAGGAUCGGUUACGUCUAGUAUAUGCAAAUUAUUAACCAGUUGCACGAUGCGUCAAAACAUGGCAUGAAUAAGUUCUCUCAGGCUGCAACUUUUCGUUUGACCUGAUUUUCUGGAGCCUCCCCCUCCUUUUUUUGGUAGAAAUAUUGUCCCUAGUUUCUUGGUUGCUAAAGUUGGAGUUGAUACUGAUGCCUUUUCAGUUAUGUUCUCGUCCAUAAGAGCAGCUUUGUUGGCAUUUUUCCAAUUUCAUGCAAGCUGCCUUAUUAAGGGAAAGUUAUCAAAUUUCGCCAAUGCUUUAAGGAUAAUCAUAUCUAUCAUGAACUUUAAAACUGUUCUAUUGUUUAUCAUUUUAUUGCAUGUCUAAUUUGUACUUCUAUUGUUUAUAACUAUAUUGCUAAAUAUUUCCUUAAAUUUGUUUAUGCAGCUUUCUUGCAGGCACUGUCAUGGCUAGCAAUAGCAAUCUCUCCGUCAAGCAUAUCUGUUUUCACUAUCUCUAUAUAUCUUCUUCUUAGUAUUCUAGGAGCUUCAAUAACUGAGGUAAAAAAUGAUGCCAUCGUUGCCGAGUUGGGUAAACAGCCUCCGUCUUCAACCAAGCACUCUCAACAACCAUCUUCCUCAGGCAAUCUUCAAUCCUUUGUUUGGAUAGCUUCCUCUGUAGGAGGAGUCGCCGGCAACCUUCUUGGUGGCAUUUUCAUCAGCCGCUUCUCUCCACAAUCCAUGUUUAUGUUUUUUGGCCUUCUUGUUGCUCUCCAAUUCUUCAUAACCGUUUCGGUUCACGAAAGCUCUCUCGGACUUUCAAAGAAUCCAUCAAUUGGGAUAAAGAAACAGCUUUCAGAACUAUCUGCCGCACUAAGAAAACCUGAAAUCACGUAUUCAAUCUCAUGGUUUGCAUUAUCUUAUGCAGUUGUUCCCUUACUUAACGGAACCAUGUUCAUUUACCAGACACAAUACUUGAAAAUCGACUCGUCAGUGUUAGGUAUCUCCAAGGUUUUUGGUCAGGAAACAAUGCUUCUAUGGGGUAUUAUAUAUAAUCGAUACCUGAAAUCUAUAUCACCUAGGAAACUGAUAUCAGCGAUUCAAGCAACAAUUGCAUUCUUAAUGAUUUCAGAUGUCUUAUUUGUGCGCGGUUUCUAUAGACAAAUGGGCGUGCUGGACACACUCUAUGUUGUGAUUUUCUCAGGAUUCUUGGAGGUUCUAUUUUUCUUUAAGUUUCUGCCAUUCACUGUGUUAUUAGCACAGCUAUGUCCACAAGGUUGCGAAGGGUCAAUAAUGGCAUUUCUUAUGUCUGCUGUUGCAUUGGCAUUCAUUGUGAGUGGAUACCUUGGUGUUGCACUUGCAUCUUAUAUUAAGAUAACAGGAAGUGAUUUUUCAGGAUUGUCACUUGGACUUGUGAUACAAGCUUCAUGUACUUUGUUGCCAAUAUUUUGGUCAUCAUGCAUAC